GCUUCGAUUCCCUUUCUUCCCUGACGCUUGCUUGCUUUUGCGUCCGAUUUGUAAUCUAAACAUCUCGUUUCCGCACGGGUUUGGUGCGCGUCUACUUGUGGUUGGGCCUCUUUCGAUCGAGUAGGCUCGAGGACGGGGAUCCAUGCCCGCUUGACCUGACGUGAUACGCGUACUACGGAUCCGUCAAAGCCUGUACUCCAGACGAACCAGUCGAUUCUGUGUAAUCAUGCAUAUUAAGCGGCAGUUUUUACCGCUUGAAGGUCGUCGUAGUUAGGUGCUCAGAUCUGGCGCUUUUCAAGGUUAGAGGAAGUGAUUGAAGCUAGGAGACAUGAUUUCAGCUAGGUUUAGUUUGUGGUUCAUUGGAGACAAAAUUCGCCAAGCAGAUACUGUAGUACACGUUGAAUUUUCGUGAUUUAUACUGAGAAUUGUGCUUUCCAUCUGGAAAUUCCCCAUCUGAAUAUGGCUAGCUAGAGAUCGUGGCUAGCUAGUAGCUCUCCGUGCCACGGAUCAAUAAAGUGUUAAUCGUGCGAUGAAGUUAGCUCACCGCUUGUCCUCUCAACACUGCAG
rnacentral:lncRNA from 7 species